rnacentral:lncRNA from 1 species
CUUACUUUACCUACACCAUAGGACUUGUAACCGUCACUUCUGUCUUGAGUGGUUAAAAGAUAGAACAGUCUAGCCAAGUGUCAUGUCUCUUAUUCUUGAUCAGCUAUAGCUCUGGGGUUUUUGCAGAUUUUCAAAUAAAACUCAGAAAUUCCUUGUAUGAUUCUCUCAGGUCUCUCUUUUGUGGUAUUUUUGGAUCCUUACCAAGGCAGUGAUGGUAUAUGCCUUCUCUCAAGAUAUGUAGUAUUUGUGGUAUGAAGCAUAGUGACAUUGUCUUCUCUCUCACCCUACUCUAAUAAGGCUUUAAUAUCUGGAGCUCAUAGGUGGGAGAUAAAGUAUACAUACUUACAAGACAUUUAUUGCAUAGUCAAACCAUGGAUCCAGAGAAACAAGUCAAUAAGUCAAAUCAAGAUGUGCAUGUGUGGCGAAUGUAUGGUGUAUGGUGAUGAUGGUGAUAACAAUGGUGAAAGUCUAAUUCUACUUUUGCUCUUUUAAGGGGAUACAUACCUUUCUUGCACUUAGAAGCUUUUUGGGGAGAAUGAGAUGCUCUAUAUUUUCUUUUUCUUACCUCUCAGGUGGGUAUCUAGUACCCCUAAUUCUACUGUCGGACACUUGUCCAUUUUUACCUCUCGUCUCACUUUUUCUUUUCUUCGAGGUUCCGGGCACUUGCCCCUUUUUAUUUCCUCGUAUAUUAUUUAUUUUUAUUUAUAUUUUUUUUCUUCUUUUUUUUCUCUUUUUUUUUCUUUCUAGAGCACUCAUCUCCUGAAAUAAUGUAGCAAGUGGUAGUAACCAAAAUAACUGGAGCAUUUAUUUCACAGGGAAUAACAGGGAUAGGAAAAUGUUUUUGGCUAUUCUCUCCCGGAUUAGGAGUAGAAUAAUUUUGGGUAAAACUGGAGAUAGAAAUGAGUGGAUAUAUGUGGAUGGUACUUCCGGAGUAGAAGUAGCAUGUAUGAGUAAUCGUGCAAGUGAAUCUUGAUUUUAACCACAUGACAAGCUCCUAAGGGUCUACACAGCUUGACCACACUCAAUGCUCAUAAGCAGUAAAUAGUAAAUGUGUGGCUCAAGGUCUAGCAAGCAUGUAUAUAUGGCUAUGGUAGGAAUUUAAACUCUCAUCAUACAGGAACUCAUCAUGCAACAUUUUAAAGAUUUUCAAAGAUAAAAUUCUCCAGAAUUCUAGCAUCUCUAGGAAUAGAUAAACAGCAGCUCAACCUUCCCAUAUCGUAUCCGUUAACAACUUAGACUUCAGCUCAAGUUUUCAUCCCACAAGUUUAGGUCUAGAGCAAGCCUUAAAUUAUAACAGUUAUAUCUACACUUGAGAGAGAACUUCAAAUUUGCAAAUUAGACAGAGCAACUAUUCAUCAUAUCCAUGCUUAAGUUUUAUUAGAUACAGAUUAGCAUAGCCACUUUAUUUAUUUAUUAAACAUACUAAGCAAAAUAUAUAUAAGCAUAAAAUCUUCAUUUGGUUUUUCAUAGUUAUGUGUAUUUAUAUUCUAAUAUAGUAUAAGUAUAAAGAUAGAUAGAAAUACUUAUCGAGAUAAAUGGGGGUGCUCUCCCCCAAGCUGAAUUUUGACGUAAUUUCUCUUGAUGUAGCUAGCAGGUGGCAGAGGUGUGUUUGAAAGUCAGCAGUAUUUUGACAACGAUUAGAAUGUCCUCCGUCUGCUAGUCUUCUUGAUUCUUAAAUUCUGUGGAGCUCAAAUAGACAACAAAGCUUGUGGAACUAAUUAAGUGUUAGCAUAAAUAUCUAGCCUUCAUCAUGUUGAGCUUCCUUAAUAAAUGUUAUUUAUUUAGCAGGAUCAUAUACUUAUUAUUAUUAUAUAUAUAUAUAUAUAUUUAUAUAUUUUUAAUGUAAGAUGAAAACUCAAAGUUAUCUCAGCAAACCGUCUUUCUCCCCGGCAACGGCGCCAGAAAUGCUUGUUGAUAUUUGGUAACGCAAUAAGGAAACGAUCCGCAAGCGCACGAAUAUCGGUGAGCAUUUCACCCGGGAGGUUAUCUAGAGUUAUCGUAUUUAUAUUUUUACCACUGGGAGAAAGGGUGCAUCUGACUAACCAAAUCUAUUGCUACUAUCUCUUUAGGCUACAAAGAAUGUUUCUCGAUGUGAGUGAUGUAUAGAGAAGACUGCAACCUUAGUCUCGUUCUAACCUUGGUAAGGAUGAUCUACUGUUCUAUUGGGGAGGCUCACGGAAUCUAGACAAUGCAAAGGAUGUUCGACCCGCACCUAUAAACCUACCCGUCCUGCUAACGAGAUGUGAUCUGCAAAGGUAACUCGGAAAUGUCACGUUCCUCGCUACUACCACGGUCCAGCUAGUCAGGGGAUAUCUAUGAGUACCCUAGCCUAAACACCACGUUUACGCUAACAAGUGAUUACUCUAAUACUCAACCGGAAGAGGAUUAAAGUAAACUCAUAAACCAAACAACAAUAAAACAAGAACUUACUAGUAUUAGAAGUCGAAUUACUGAAGAAUCUUAGAAGCAAGCCUCGGGUUAGGAGACUUGAUCCCGCAGGUACAACUCAGAGUAGACACCGACAGGCCGGCCUUCCUCCGAUCCACACCUCCACUCUAUCUCUCUCAAUGUAAUAGAAACUAGAAGAUCUAUUUCUACUUUACAUUGGAUGCUAAGCCUAAAAAGAAAUAUUAUUUAGAGAAGAGGUUUUCCUUCGAGGGCCCCCCUCAAUCUCUAUGAUAAUUUCUUGUCUCCUCCAGGGGCCAGAGGGGGUCUCCUUAUAUAGUCCUCCCCUUCUAUGCGUUUUUGGGUCGAUAGGCGAGGUGGUACUAUGUUAUUCUGGAUCCAAUAGGUCGGUGGAACGUCGUGUGCGAAGAGAGUCCGGAACGGAGUCCAGAGGGGGGCGGGCGCCCAGGUCCUCAGGGCGGGCGCCCUGGGCCUGGACCCUUUCGGGCUCCGCUUCCUUCCGGUGGCUUCUGGAGUCUUCUAGAUGGUAGAAAACUGCGCGGUGGGUUGAUAUCUCUAUGUAAUCCCGACAUGUGGGCCUUUCUUCCUUAUUUCCUGAUAACCCCCUGUAGAAAUAGACAAACACCAAAACUCGUGGAAUUCUGUCAGAUAAAACCCUAAGUCUAGAUGUUGAUUUCUUUUGGAUCCUUUUCUUUGUUUAUUUGAUAAUUAAAUUUGAUACUUAAGGACCGUCAACAAACUCCCCCAAGCUUACCUCUUGCUCGUCCCUGAGCAAGGAUGAACUCAAGAGUUUCUGCAGAGGUUUCAUUUCUUAGAAGUACACACGCAUUUAAGCAAGAUCUCAUCUCUGAGUUAGAAUAAACUGUUAAGACUUAAAACUUACUUACUUUACCUACACCAUAGGACUUGUAACCGUCACUUCUGUCUUGAGUGGUUAAAAGAUAGAACAGUCUAGCCAAGUGUCAUGUCUCUUAUUCUUGAUCAGCUAUAGCUCUGGGGUUUUUGCAGAUUUUCAAAUAAAACUCAGAAAGUCCUUGUAUGAUUCUCUCAGGUCUCUCUUUUGUGGUAUUUUUGGAUCCUUACCAAGGCAGUGAUGGUAUAUGCCUUCUCUCAAGAUAUGUAGUAUUUGUGGUAUGAAGCAUAGUGACAUUGUCUUCUCUCUCACCCUACUAUAAUAAGGCUUUAAUAUCUGGAGCUCAUAGGUGGGAGAUAAAGUAUACAUACUUACAAGACAUUUAUUGCAUAGUCAAACCAUGGAUCCAGAGAAACAAGUCAAUAAGUCAAAUCAAGAUGUGCAUGUGUGGCGAAUGUAUGGUGUAUGGUGAUGAUGGUGAUAACAAUGGUGAAAGUCUAAUUCUACUUUUGCUCUUUUAAGGGGAUACAUACCUUUCUUGCACUUAGAAGCUUUUUGGGGAGAAUGAGAUGCUCUAUAUUUUCUUUUUCUUACCUCUCAGGUGGGUAUCUUGUACCCCUAAUUCUACUGUCGGACACUUGUCCAUUUUUACCUCUCGUCUCACUUUUUCUUUUCUUCGAGGUUCCGGGCACUUGCCCCUUUUUAUUUCCUCGUAUAUUAUUUAUUUUUAUUUAUAUUUUUUUUCUUCUUUUUUUUCUCUUUUUUUUCUUUCUAGAGCACUCAUCUCCUGAAAUAAUAUAGCAAGUGGUAGUAACCAAAAUAACUGGAGCAUUUAUUUCACAGGGAAUAACAGGGAUAGGAAAAUGUUUUUGGCUAUUCUCUCCCGGAUUAGGAGUAGAAUAAUUUUGGGUAAAACUGGAGAUAGAAAUGAGUGGAUAUAUGUGGAUGGUACUUCCGGAGUAGAAGUAGCAUGUAUGAGUAAUCGUGCAAGUGAAUCUUGAUUUUAACCACAUGACAAGCUCCUAAGGGUCUACACAGCUUGACCACACUCAAUGCUCAUAAGCAGUAAAUAGUAAAUGUGUGGCUCAAGGUCUAGCAAGCAUGUAUAUAUGGCUAUGGUAGGAAUUUAAACUCUCAUCAUACAGGAACUCAUCAUGCAACAUUUUAAAGAUUUUCAAAGAUAAAAUUCUCCAGAAUUCUAGCAUCUCUAGGAAUAGAUAAACAGCAGCUCAACAUUCCCAUAUCGUAUCCGUUAACAACUUAGACUUCAGCUCAAGUUUUCAUCCCACAAGUUUAGGUCUAGAGCAAGCCUUAAAUUAUAACAGUUAUAUCUAAACUUGAGAGAGAACUUCAAAUUUGCAAAUUAGACAGAGCAACUAUUCAUCAUAACCAUGCUUAAGUUUUAUUAGAUACAGAUUAGCAUAGCCACUUUAUUUAUUUAUUAAACAUACUAAGCAAAAUAUAUAUAAGCAUAAAAUCUUUAUUUGGUUUUUCAUAGUUAUGUGUAUUUAUAUUCUAAUAUAGUAUAAGUAUAAAGAUAGAUAGAAAUACUUAUCGAGAUAAAUGGGUGUGCUCUCCCCCAAGCUGAAUUUUGACGUAAUUUCUCUUGAUGUAGCUAGCAGGUGGCAGAGGUGUGUUUGAAAGUCAGCAGUAUUUUGACAGCGAUUAGAAUGUCCUCCGUCUGCUAGUCUUCUUGAUUCUUAAAUUCUGUGGAGCUCAAAUAGACAACAAAGCUUGUGGAACUAAUUAAGUGUUAGCAUAAAUAUCUAGCCUUCAUCAUGUUGAGCUUCCUUAAUAAAUGUUAUUUAUUUAGCAGGAUCAUAUACUUAUUAUUAUUAUAUAUAUAUAUUUAUAUAUUUUUAAUGUAAGAUGAAAACUCAAAGUUAUCUCAGCAAACCGUCUUUCUCCCCGGCAACGGCGCCAGAAAUGCUUGUUGAUAUUUGGUAACGCAAUAAGGAAACGAUCCGCAAGCGCACGGAUAUCGGUGAGCAUUUCACCCGGGAGUUUAUCUAGAGUUAUCGUAUUUAUAUUUUUACCACUGGGAGAAAGGGUGCAUCUGACUAACCAAAUCUAUUGCUACUAUCUCUUUAGGCUACAAAGAAUGUUUCUCGAUGUGAGUGAUGUAUAGAGAAGACUGCAACCUAAGUCUCGUUCUAACCUUGGUAAGGAUGAUCUACUGUUCUAUUGGGGAGGCUCAAGGAAUCUAGACAAUACAAAGGAUGUUCGACCCGCACCUAUAAACCUACCCGUCCUGCUAACGAGAUGUGAUCUGCAAAGGUAACUCGGAAAUGUCACGUUCCUCGCUACUACCACGGUCCAGCUAGUCAGGGGAUAUCUAUGAGUACCCUAGCCUAAACACCACGUUUACGCUAACAAGUGAUUACUCUAAUACUCAACCGGAAGAGGAUUAAAGAAAACUCAUAAACCAAACAACAAUAAAACAAGAACUUACUAGUAUUAGAAGUCGAAUUACUGAAGAAUCUUAGAAGCAAGCCUCGGGUUAGAAGACUUGAUCCCGCAGGUACAACUCGGAGUAGACACCGACAGGCCGGCCUUCCUCCGAUCCACACCUCCACUCUAUCUCUCUCAAUCUAGUAGAUACUAGAAGAUCUAUUUCUACUUUACAUUGGAUGCUAAGCCUAAAAAGAAAUAUUAUUUAGAGAAGAG